rnacentral:rRNA from 1 species
UACGGAGGGGGCUAGCGUUGUUCGGAAUUACUGGGCGUAAAGCGCGCGUAGGCGGCUUUGUAAGUUAGAGGUGAAAGCCCCGGAGCUCAACUCCGGAACUGCCUUUAAGACUGCAUCGCUAGAAUUGUGGAGAGGUGAGUGGAAUUCCGAGUGUAGAGGUGAAAUUCGUAGAUAUUCGGAAGAACACCAGUGGCGAAGGCGGCUCACUGGCCCGGUACUGACGCUGAGGCACGAAAGCGUGGGGAGCAAACAGG